GGCUCAGGAUGAACGCUAGCGGCAGGCUUAAUACAUGCAAGUCGUGGGGCAGCAUGAGUAGCAAUACUUGAUGGCGACCGGCAAACGGGUGAGGAACACGUACACAACCUUCCUUCAAGCGGGGAAUAGCCCAGAGAGAUUUGGAUUAAUACCCCAUAAUAUAUUUGAUAAGGCAUCUUAUUAAUAUUAAAGCUUCGGCACUUGGUGAUGGGUGUGCGGCUGAUUAGAUAGUUGGCGGGGUAACGGCCCACCAAGUCUACGAUCAGUAGCUGAUGUGAGAGCAUGAUCAGCCACACGGGCACUGAGACACGGGCCCGACUCCUACGGGAGGCAGCAGUAAGGAAUAUUGGACAAUGGACGAAAGUCUGAUCCAGCCAUGCCGCGUGAAGGAUUAAGGUCCUCUGGAUUGUAAACUUCUUUUAUAUGGGACGAAAAAGGGCAUUCUUGUUCACUUGACGGUACCAUAUGAAUAAGCACCGGCUAACUCCGUG
rnacentral:rRNA from 1 species